GGUUUCAUAGUGUAGCGGUUAACACAUCUGCUUUACAUGCAGAAGGCCCUGAUUUCAUGCCCCAGUGGAGCGA
rnacentral:tRNA from 1 species